rnacentral:miRNA from 1 species
UGAGGCAGAAGAAUUGCUUGAACCCAGGAAGUGGAGGCUGCAGUGAGCCGAGAUCAAGCCACUGCACUCCAGCCUAAGUGAAAGAGCGAGACUCAGUCU